UACAGAGGGUGCAAGCGUUAAUCGGAAUUACUGGGCGUAAAGCGCGCGUAGGUGGUUUGUUAAGUUGGAUGUGAAAGCCCCGGGCUCAACCUGGGAACUGCAUUCAAAACUGACAAGCUAGAGUAUGGUAGAGGGUGGUGGAAUUUCCUGUGUAGCGGUGAAAUGCUUAGAGAUUACAUGGAAUACCAAUUGCGAAGGCAGGUUACUACUAGUGGAUUGACGCUGAUGGACGAAAGCGUGGGGAGCGAACAGG
rnacentral:rRNA from 1 species